UGAACGCUGGCGGCGUGCUUAACACAUGCAAGUCGAACGAAGUCCAUGGAGCUUGCUCCGGAAGAUUGAGUGGCGAACGGGUGCGUAACACGUGAGAAACCUGCCCCGGACUUUGGGAUAACAGUUGGAAACGACUGCUAAUACCGAAUAUCACCGUUUCCCCGCAUGGGGAUUUGUUGAAAGGUCCGCCGGUCCGGGAGGGUCUCACGGCCUAUCAGCUUGUUGGGGGGGUAAUGGCUCACCAAGGCAUCGACGGGUAGCUGGUCUGAGAGGAUGAUCAGCCACACUGGGACUGAGACACGGCCCAGACUCCUACGGGAGGCAGCAGUGGGGAAUCUUGCACAAUGGGCGCAAGCCUGAUGCAGCAACGCCGCGUGCGGGAAGAAGGCCUUAGGGUUGUAAACCGCUUUCAGUAGGGAAGAAAAUGACGGUACCUACAGAAGAAGGUGAGGCCAACUAC
rnacentral:rRNA from 1 species